UAAGACGAAGGGGGCUAGCGUUGUUCGGAAUUACUGGGCGUAAAGCGAGUGUAGGUGGUUGUCCAAGUUGGAUGUGAAAGCCUUGAGCUCAACUCAAGAAAUGCAUUCAGGACUGGGCGGCUAGAGGACCGGAGAGGAUAGUGGAAUUCCCAGUGUAGUGGUGAAAUACGUAGAGAUUGGGAAGAACACCAGUGGCGAAGGCGGCUAUCUGGACGGUUUCUGACACUAAGACUCGAAAGCGUGGGGAGCAAACAGGAUUAGAUACCCUGGUAGUCCACGCCCUAAACUAUGUCAACUGGUUGUCGGGGAAGCAAUUCCUUGGUAACGAAGCUAACGCGUGAAGUUGACCGCCUGGGGAGUACGGCCGCAAGGUUA
rnacentral:rRNA from 1 species